rnacentral:rRNA from 1 species
UACAGAGGUCUCAAGCGUUGUUCGGAUUCAUUGGGCGUAAAGGGUGCGUAGGCGGCGCGGUAAGUCGGGGGUGAAAUCCGGCAGCUUAACUGUCGAAGUGCCUUCGAUACUGGCGAGCUCGAGGGAGGUAGGGGUCUGUGGAACUGCUGGUGGAGCGGUGAAAUGCGUUGAUAUCAGCAGGAACGCCGGUGGCGAAAGCGACGGACUGGACCUCUUCUGACGCUGAGGCGCGAAAGCUAGGGGAGCAAACGGG